GAUGAAGAACGUAGUGAAAUGCGAUAAGUAAUGUGAAUUGCAGAAUUCAGUGAAUCAUCGAAUCUUUGAACGCACCUUGCACCCUUUGGCAUUCCGAAGGGUAUGCUCGUUUGAGUGUCAUUGUAUUCUCACUCUCCCGAUGCUUUUGGAUCGGGAGUGGUGGACUUGGGUGUUGCUGCUUUGCUGUGGCUCGCCUCAAAUGGAGUAGUGCAACUCUUGGUUGGACAUAGUACGGCGUGAUAAGUGUCUUCGCCGGCGCCUCAUUAUAGAGGGUGGCCGAUCGGGAGCUCUGUGCUUCAAACCGUCUUCGGACAACAUCUGACAACUUGACCUCAAAUCGAGUAGGACUACCCGCUGAACUUAAGCAUAUCAAUAAGCGGAGGA
rnacentral:misc_RNA from 1 species